rnacentral:tRNA from 1 species
GCCUGGAUGGCUCAGUUGGUUAGGCGUCUGACUUCGGCUCAGGUCAUGAUCUCACAGUUCGUGGGUUCGAGCCCCACGUCAGGCU